GCCGAAGUGGCGGAACUGGUAGACGCGCUAGAUUCAGGGUCUAGUGGGGGUUUCCCUGUGGGAGUUCGAGUCUCCCCUUCGGCACCA
rnacentral:tRNA from 1 species